GAACCUGCGGAAGGAUCAUUAAUGAUUAACUGUCUGUCGAGCUUGCUCACAGACUUAUCAUAUCCAUAACACCUGUGCACUUGUCGGAUGGCUUAGUGAAGACCGCAAGGUUGGAACUAUCCAUCUACUUUACAUAACAAUUUAGUAACAAAUGUAGUCUUAUUAUAACAUAAUAAAACUUUCAACAACGGAUCUCUUGGCUCUCGCAUCGAUGAAGAACGCAGCGAAAUGCGAUAAGUAAUGUGAAUUGCAGAAUUCAGUGAAUCAUCGAAUCUUUGAACGCACCUUGCGCUCCCUGGUAUUCCGGGGAGCAUGCCUGUUUGAGUGUCAUGAAAACCCUCAACCUUAGAUUGGUUAACACCUUUCUUUGGCUUGGAUUUGGACGUUUGCCGAUGAUAAGUCGGCUCGUCUUAAAAGUAAUAGCUGGAUCUGUCUCGCGACAUGGUUUGACUUGGCGUAAUAAGUAUUUCGCUAAGGACAUCUUCGGAUGGCCGCGUUGCAAGACUAAAGACCGCUUUCUAAUCCAUUGAUCUUCGGAUUAAUAUUCUUGACAUCUGGCCUCAAAUCAGGUAGGACUACCCGC
rnacentral:rRNA from 1 species